rnacentral:misc_RNA from 1 species
GAAAUGCGAUAAGUAGUGUGAAUUGCAGAAUUCAGUGAAUCAUCGAAUCUUUGAACGCACAUUGCGCCCCUUGGUAUUCCAUGGGGCAUGCCUGUUCGAGCGUCAUUUGUACCCUCAAGCUCUGCUUGGUGUUGGGUGUUUGUCCCGUCUCCGCGCGUGGACUCGCCCCAAAGUGAUUGGCAGCCGGCGUACUGGUCCCGGAGCGCAGCACAUGUCGCGCAAACGAGUGCCUUGGUACGGCGGCGUCCAUAAGCCCCUCUCUCACGCUCUUGACCUCGGAUCAGGUAGGGAUACCCGCUGAACCUAAGC